CAAGUCCACCACCAUCCAUCUCCGUCAAUACCACCGGCAAUAUCCUCUCACCUUCUCUCACUCCCGCGUUAAACCUACCAACAGCGAAACCACCACCAGGUAAUCUCCAAAUCGUCAUCCCAACGGCAUGUUCUUCUUCAUUACUCCGUUGGAUUGGAUCUGAAGGUAACUCAAAUCUACACACAGGACACGAAUUCCGAAUCGAAAGCCAUGGAACAAUACAAUCACCGUGAAAUAUGUGUUUACACGGCAUCUCACGACCUUCGAUUCCGGCUUCGAAAACCUC
rnacentral:lncRNA from 1 species